rnacentral:rRNA from 1 species
GACGAACGCUGGCGGCACGCCUAACACAUGCAAGUCGAACGAGUGGAGAGAAGCUUGCUUCUCGAAGCUAGUGGCGGACGGGUGAGUAACACGUGAGCAAUCUACCUUUCAGAGGGGGAUACCAGUUAGAAAUGACUGUUAAUACCGCAUAACAUAGGUUCUUCGCAUGGAGAAGCUAUCAAAGAUUUAUCGCUGAGAGAUGAGCUCGCGUCUGAUUAGCUAGUUGGUAAGGUAAUGGCUUACCAAGGCAACGAUCAGUAGCCGGACUGAGAGGUUGAACGGCCACAUUGGGACUGAGACACGGCCCAGACUCCUACGGGAGGCAGCAGUGGGGAAUAUUGCACAAUGGAGGAAACUCUGAUGCAGCGAUGCCGCGUGAGGGAAGAAGGUUUUUGGAUUGUAAACCUCUGUCUACAGGGACGAUAAUGACGGUACCUGUGGAGGAAGCUCCGGCUAACUACGUGCCAGCAGC